AGGGAAUAGAUACCCUGGUAGUCCAUGCUGUAAACGAUGGAUGCUAGCUGUGAUGCGUAAUCGACCCGCGUCGUAGCGAAGCUAACGCGUUAAGCAUCCCGCCUGUGGAGUACGGCCGCAAGGCUAAAAACAUAAAGGAAUUGACGGGGACCCGCACAAGCGGUGGAGCGUGUUGUUUAAUUCGAUGGUAAGCGAAGAACCUUACCCAGGUUUGACAUCCUUGGAAGUUCUGCGAAAGCAGAGUGUGCCUUGGGAACCAAGUGACAGGUGAUGCAUGGCCGUCUUCAGCUCGUGUCGUGAGACGUUAGGUUAAGUCCUUCAACGAGCGCAACCCUUAUAGUUAGUUGUAUUUUCUAGCUAGACUGCCUGGUAACAGGGA
rnacentral:rRNA from 1 species